rnacentral:rRNA from 1 species
UACGAAGGGGGCUAGCGUUGUUCGGAUUUACUGGGCGUAAAGAGCGUGUAGGCGGCCAAGCAGGUCCGUUGUGAAAACUGGAGGCUUAACCUCCAGACGUCGACGGAAACCGCGUGGCUAGAGUCCGGAAGAGGAGAGUGGAAUUCCUGGUGUAGCGGUGAAAUGCGCAGAUAUCAGGAAGAACACCAAUGGCGAAGGCAGCUCUCUGGGACGGUACUGACGCUGAGACGCGAAAGCGUGGGGAGCGAACGGG